GUGGGCACUGCGGCGGCGACGGUGGCGACGGCCGCGGCCUUGGCUCCGGCCAUGGCAGCCUCUGCAGUUACCAAUCAACACAGGCGUGUUAGUUUGGGUCUAGUUCCAGGCUUUCAGUAGACAGGACUGCACAUAACUGCAAUGCACUCCUAGAAUAGAACGGCGAGAGCAUUGCCGGCACAGUGAACCGGCGGGGCAUCAUAUCGUUUUGGUUACCUCUGGAGCAGCGCUUGGCUGCGGCGAGCCUCUGGUCGAGGUAGGCGCCGGUCACCGUAGACAUCUUCGCCGGAGCAAAGCUUGGUGGCAGGAGACCCGAAGGAAGUGAACUACUCGUGACUUCUUAGGCCCUGUUUUGUUACAAAUAAGUCACCAACUUAUAAGUUAAAAAUGCAAAAAAUGACUUAUUUUGCCAAAAGGGCCUAACUUAUAAGUCACCCUAACUUAUAAGUCAUAAGUUGCGAUACCCUAGCUUAAAACUUAUAAGUCACUUACUUUUUGAUGGGUCCCACCACCUUUUCAGCCGUGCCCACCGCCCACCCGUGCCCACCGCCCCAUCCGCUCCCCACCGCGUAGCGCGCCUCGCCGCCGCUCCCACCGCGCAGCGCGCCUUGCCGCCGCCGAGCUCCAUCCCCACCCACUGCGCAGCGCGCCUCGCCCAUCCCUCCCCACCGCGCACCGCUGCUGCCCUCGCCGCCGCUGNNNNNNNNNNNNNNNNNNNNNNNNNNNNNNNNNNNNNNNNNNNNNNNNNNNNNNNNNNNNNNNNNNNNNNNNNNNNNNNNNNNNNNNNNNNNNNNNNNNNCCUAGUGUGCCUUUUCCUGUCAGCCUACCCUCAUACCGAGAUUCGGGAACACCAAUCGGCUUAAGGUCAGGAAGAAAGUCCACACAAAACUCAAUGACCUCCUCUGUUCCAUAGCCCUUGGAGAUGCUUCCUUCUGGCCUAGCACGGUUACGAACAUAUUUCUUUAAGACUCCCAUGAACCUCUCGAAGGGGAACAUAUUGUGUAGAAACACAGGACCGAGAAUUCUAAUCUCUUCGACUAGGUCAACUAGGAGGUGUGUCAUUAUAUUGAAGAAGGAUGGCGGGAACAACAACUCAAAGCUGACCAGACAUUGGACCACAUCAAUCUGUAACCCUGAUAGACUUUCUCGAUCGAUUACCUUCUGAGAAAUUGCAUUGAGAAAUGCACAUACCUUCACAAUUGCCAGGCGAACAUUUUCCGGUAGAAUUCCCCUCAAUGCAACCGGAAGCAAUUGCGUCAUAAGCACGUGGCAGUCAUGAGACUUUAGGUUUUGGAAUUUUUUGUCUUUCAUAUUUACGAUUCCCUUUAUAUUCGACGAGAAGCCAGUCGGGACCUUGAUACUGAAAAGGACUUCAAAGAAGAUUUCCUUCUCUUCCUUAGUAAGAACGUAGCUGGCACGCCCUUGAAACUGCCCUCGAUGCAUGCCAUCUCUUCCUUUAUGACGUUCCUGGUCCUCCCGUGCUUCCGGUGUAUCUUUUGACUUCCCAUACAAGCCCAGGAAGCCUAGAAUAUUCACGCAGAGAUUCUUCGUCAGGUGCAUCACGUCGAUUGCCGAGCGGACCUCAUGGACUUCCCAGUAGGGUAGCUCCCAAAAUAUAGAUUUCUUCUUCCACAUGGGUACGCGCUUAUCAGGGCCGUUAGGAACAGGUUGGCUGCCAGGACCCUUUCCAAAGAUUACUUUUAAAUCUUUGACCAUAUCAAAUACUUCAGCACCAGUACGGAUGACAGGCUUCCCCCGGGGUUCUGCCUUGCCAUUGAAAUGCUUGCCUUUUUUCUUGAAGGGAUGCUUGGGCGGAAGAAAACAACGAUUGUACGGAUACACAUUCUUCCUACAGUUGUCGAGAUAUAUACUUUCUGUCUGAUCCAAACAGUGCGUGCAUGCAUUGUAUCCCUUGUUUGACUGACCUGAAAUGUUACUAAGAGCAGGCCAAUCAUUGAUGGUUAUGAAAAGCAACGCUCGAAGGUCAAAUUCCUCUUGUUUGUGCUCGUCCCACACACGUACACCUGGUUCGGCCCACAUCUGUAAAAGUUCAUCAACUAAUGGCCUUAGGUACACAUUAAUAUCGUUGCCGGCUUGCUUUGGACCUUGUAUAAGCACUGGCAUCAUAAUGAACUUCCGCUUCACGCACAACCAAGGAGGAAGGUUGUAGAUACAUAGAGUAACGGGCCAGGUGCUGUGACUGCAACUCUGCUCCCCAAAAGGAUUCAUGCCAUCUGUACUCAAACCUAACCAUAAGUUCCUUGCGUCAGCUGCAAAUCUCGGGAACUCUCUCUCGAUUUUUCUCCACUGCCGACCAUCAGCGGUGUGCCUCAACUUAUCGUCUUUCAUACGAUCUUCCAUGUGCCAUCACAACAACUUCGCAUGGUCUUUAUUUCUGAACAGACAUUUCAACCGUGGUAUUAUAGGAGCAUACCACAUCACCUUGGCAGGAACCCUCUUCCUGGGUGGCUCGCCCUCAAUAUCACCAGGGUCAUCUUUUCUGAUCUUAUACCGCAAUGCAGUGCAUACCGGGCAUUUAUCCAUAUUCUCGUACUUCUCACCGCGGUAGAGGAUGCAGUCAUUAGGGCAUGCAUGUAUCUUCUGCACGUCUAAUCCUAGAGGGCAGACAAGCUUCUUUGCUUCGUACGUGCUGGCGGGCAAUUCGUUCUUUCUUGGAAGCAUCUUCUUCAUCAGUACCAGCAACUUUUCGAAUGACGAGUCAGUCACACCGGUCUCUGCCUUCCACUUCAGCAAUUCCAGUGUGCUACCCAGCUUCUUCUGGCCAUCUUCACAAGUUGGGUACAACAAUUUGUUGUGGUCCUGUAACAUCUGCUCGAACUGCAACCUCUCCUUUUCUGUGUCGCAACCUCGCCGUGCAUCAGAAAUGACCCGGCCAAGAUCAUCAGCGGGCUCAUCUGGUUCCGGUUCUUCAUCCUGAUCUUCUUCUUCAUUGUCUUCCAUUGCGGUAUCAGCAUACUCAAGGAACAUAGAUUGGUAGUUGUCAUCAUCAUUCUCUUCUUCUUCUUUGUCGUCUUCCAUCAUAACCCCUCUUUCUCCGUGCUUGGUCCAAACAUUAUAGCCCGACAUAAAACCGGACCGAAGCAGGUGGCUCUGAAUGACUCUUGAGGAAGUGUAAUCCUUCUCAUUCCGACAUUCAACACAUGGACAAAACAUAUAGCCACCACCAUGCUUGUUCGCAUCGGUUGCAUCUCGAAAAGAAUGCACACCUUCUCUGGAAGCGGUUGUGCGUCGAUCACCGUACAUCCAUGGAUGGCUCAUCUCUGCGUUAUACGACAGUAUAUCAAAUACAAUCACGAUCCUAGAAAUUAGUACCGCACGGUCUAAACGAGGAAAUAUAGUUGCUAACCUUUUAGAAUAAGUAGAAAUAAAGAGGAAGAGGUUUAAGCGUGGCUCGGGCAUCUCAUAUCGUAGUUGUGUUCGGUGAACUGAAGCGGCAUCGCUCUAACACACAUUUCAACAAACACCUCUAGUGCAUCAAAAAAAGUGGAGAGCAAGCACCCACCCACAAUCCUCCAUCCAAGAAAAAUGCAACGAAGAGGGGAGAGGGGGGGCUGUGCUAUAUAUAGGCAGAGGACUUUAGUCCCGGUUUGAGACACAAACCGGGACUAAAGGUGGCGCACAUGCGGGCUGCCCACCGCGUAGCCCUUUAGUCCCGGCUUGGGACACGAACCGGGACUAAAGGCUCCUUACGGGCCGGGACUAAAGCCUCGAGGGAGGAUAUGAGAAUUGGGGCGACGUGGCCGGGCCUUUAGUCCCGGCCCAGAGGCAGGCCGGGACUAAAGGGUCCAGGCCAAAGGCCCGUUUUCUACUAGUGAGACACAUAGAGUUCACCGAGAAAUCCAUGGUUAUGACCAAGAUGAUAAUUAAGUACUGUAUGUUUCCUAUUAGGAUUAGGCGUUUCUUCGAAACAUAUACUGACAGAUGUAUAGAGUUCACUCAUGAUAGAUUAAAAAUUUGAGGAUCAAGUACUCUUGCUUCAUUGAUCAUUACAAGUUGCAAGCUAGCUUUAGGAUUAGGCGUUCAUGCAGUGUUUAUCAAGAUUCAGGAUUAGGAAUUUUUUGUAUCUCGCAACUUUGUGUCGGGCAAAUUAACCUCACUCAUGUUGCUAUGAGAGAAAAACUUAGUUAUGUCAAUUUUGCAAGAUUAUGUGGCAUCUUGACAAGAUAAGUUAGAUUUGUAGUAUGUCUAUUUAAUUUUUUCUGCUGCAACAUAUGUUGUCGAAAUACUUUCAAUUAUCAAUUGAUUCAUGAUUCACUAUUAAAAAAAUCGGUUCCGAACUCGGCACCCGAGUGAAGCAAAAGGGAAAUUGCUAAGCAAACUAGUAGCUGCACCUUAAUCCAAACUCAGUGAGAAUUUUCAUAGUCCUGGAAAAAAGAGAAUUUUGAUUCAAAAAAGGCGGUGUUGCUUCUGCUGUGCAAAAGGGAAUUGCUAAGCAAACUAGCACCUUAUCCAAACUGAAUGAGAAUUUGAAGUUCAGAAAAGAUUGCUCCAUUUCUACUGUGCACCUGAUGUAAAUCGCUACCCUGCAGGACUGGUGACGAUGUGGCUCUCUCUAGGCGGGUAGCGGUGACAUUCCUUAUGAUGACAAUGGCAGACUUCAGCGACCAGCUCUUCGACUGGCAGGACCGCCAUCUUCGAGCCCGACGUCGGACGCGCCCGCGUCGCCGCUGUCGUCGAGGAUGAGGCUGAGCACCUCGUCCACCUCUUCUGCGUCCUCCCGCGCCAGCAGCUCGUCUUUACAAUCCUCCGCCACCCGGGGAAACCCAAGACCGUAUGCCUCUUGCUCCCCUCCGCAUCUCUCGAUCAUAGAUACACUUUCUUUAGUUUUGAACCCUGUUAGAUCUGUUGGAGGGGGGUAAUUGAUGUUAGCAUCAAUUUAGGAGCGAUCUGAUUCACUUAUUUUCCAGGAAUUGGAAUGCAUCCCCCUGUUUUCUGUAGCUGAUUCUCAUCUCAGGGAAUCUUUAUCGAAAAAAAAAAUCUCAGGGGAUGCGUUGUGUGCGCUCGAAAAAAAUAUCUCAGGGUACGCGUUGUGUGCGCUUGAAAAAAAAGGGCAAUGGUUGUCGCACACCAAAUGUUUGGUGUCAUGCCUAUGCGGGGCUUUGGCAGGAACCUGCGGGCUUUGUAUUUGCUCCAAGAGUGAUCAAUUGAUCCGAGAUGGGCAUAAGUUUAGCAGGUAUUUUUAGUUUGGGGAGGUGAUGUGUGAGUCAUGGCCUGCACUGCUCGCUGGUAUUUGGCUACCAGUGACUGAGCUACCAACAAGUUAUAUGACUGCUGAUAUCUGUACUUAUAUUGUCCUACAUGCAUAGAAUGAGUGGUCUCUGCAAUCUAGUAGCUUAUACUCCUACUAUUUAACUCUGAACAGAUGAUCUUACUAGCAACUGAUGGUGUAUGCUUCGGACAAGAAGCAUCCUGUUUAAUACUCCUAGCAUAGUUUACAGUCGCGUUAAGUGUAAGCGUUUUGUGUUAUGCCAAGGUUGAACUUUAUUCAUACCGUGUGAAACUGACGCUCACCAUGCGAACAGUUUCAGGAGAUCAAAAUAGAGCAGAAUGAUGCUUCAAUAACCAAGUUAUUCACAUGCCCUGUUUCCUAUGAACCACUGAUGAGGAAAGGGCAGUCAAAACCACUUUGCCAAAGUCCACUGAACAAUUAUUCAAUCCAUCAAGUUUAAACCACUUUGGGCAUUACAUGAGAAAUGAUGUUAUGUAUUUCUAUUUCUGUGAAUUAUUGACCGCUCAACGCAUUUGUUAAGUCAACCAUGAUAGUGUAGUGCUUAGUUAGUACUCUUUUCGAUGGCUUUGCACAGGAACAAGGCAUCGUGUGAUGACCUGUGUUCCUACCUUUUUGCCAUAUGGACUUAUUCAUCACAAUGACAUCGCCUUCUGAUACUUUUUAAAAUCUGUCUAAUUGUUGCAGGCCCUGACAACAUGGAGCACCUGAAGAGGAUCGCCGAGGAGAUGCAGAAGCAGGUGGCUGUUGCAGGCGCCAUCCAGCCCAAGGAGGAGAACGACUUGGAGUUUGGAUGUAUUAUGUAAACCUGAAAGAUGUAUUAUGUGAACCUGGGAGAUGUAUUAUGUGAACCUGGGAGACGUAUUGUGUUAUGUAAACUUGGGAGAUGUAUUAUGUGAUGUUAUAUGAUGGAUGAUUUUAAUUUGAGUUGGAGUAUUCUUGAUUUGAAUAUGAAAUAGUGUUGGAUUUAAUAUUGGACAAAUAAUUGGGUUGCAAAGGCCCAACAAAUAGAAAUGAAACCAAGUUCAGGAACAAAAAGUUGCUGAAUUCAAAAAUGAAAAAGGCCAAAACUGAAAUUGGACCAAAUGUAUUUGGAACUUAAAGUCCAGGGCCCAAAUUAUAAUGAUAAAAAAAAUUCGAAAAAAACAUACUAAAGUGGCUGUAAAUAGGCAAAGUCCCAAAAGAAGUCCAAUAAGAAAAAGCCCAAAAAAAUAAAAUCAGCCCAUGUGAUCAAUUGAAAUGGGUUGGGCUGAUUUCAACCAUGAUGUUUUGAUUUCGUCGUAAUUUUGCCACGUAGGACUGCCACGUAGGACUGGGUUUGAUUGCCAACGCCGAUUUAGGAUCGUCGUAAAGGUUACGACGAUAGAGGCAUCGUCGUAAAAGUUACGACGAUUUUGAUCAAAACGUCGAUGCUCUUCAUUUCUGACGCUCCGUUUUCGACGCUUGGUUUUUCGUCGUGAGAUCGUCGUAAAUUAAAAACCGUGACGAUGUAGCGACGAAAAAAUAGCGUCGUGUAUUAGCAUAUUCCUUGUAGUGGUGGGCACUGCUUCGGGGGAAACCCUAAGAUCUGACUUUCCAGAUCGGACGAUGGCGGUACUGCGGUGUCGUAUCUCUCUUGGGAGCAUCCUUUGUGGAGCAAGGCUAGAUGACAGAGGCAGGAGAUGGAGCGGCUUCGUCUGGCUCGAAGAUUUGUUGGAACUGUUAAGUCAUGCCUGGCCGACAGGUGCUACGCGGAGUCAUGCCUGGUUGGUAGGUGCUACGCACGACAGUUCUUCCAGAAUCUUCGUGUCUGGACGAAUGAGCCUAGGGCGGUGGCGCUGUUUGGCGCCGUGGUGGCGUCGAUCAUCUUGCACGGAGCUUUCAGUGAAGAUGUCAAGUCUUGCGUGGUCGACAGGUACUACGCUAUGUCAUGCCUGGUCGGCAGGUGCUACGCACGACAGAUCUUCCAGAAUCUUCGCGUCUGGACUGACAAGCCAUGGUGGCGUCGCGGAUGGAUGGACUGUCAAGGAUGAUACUGUUCUCUCUCCUGAAGAUGGGUCAGCGGCCUGAUGAUGAUGGCGGCAUCUAAAACAUGUGCAUGUGGUUUCCGCUUUAUGUCUGUUGCACCGGCUGUGGGUUCCGAUACGAUAUGUGGAUGGAUCAAUGACGGCACCGGUUUUAGAUAUGGGGAAUGAGAGCACUCCACAUUAUCGAGUUUCUUAGGUGUGAGUGGUAGCUUCGGAUGGUUUGAUGUAUGUUCUUGUUAGACCUAUGUUGAAUAAUUAAUAAAAAUGGCCGUAUGCAUCGAUUGAUGCAGAGGCAGGGGGUUUGAACCUGCUUUUCCGAAAAAAAACAUCCACAUGUCUCAUUCUGGCGUCCUAUAUCCAUACUACACAUGCAUGUCGAAAUAAUCUACGUGAUCGGAAAAUAAAAUCGAAAGGAAACGGACACAAGAUUUGCGGCAAACGGACAUCUAUCAAUACUCAAAAGAUCAUCGAGUUCGCAUGACAUAGUUUAUCAUCACCAAAAAACUAUAUUAACAAUGCUGGUCGUUUCCUAGUAAAUGAUAAAGGUGUUGCAUUUUUUGAGAAUCGUUUGGUUGUUCCCAAGAAGCAACAACUGUGAGAAUUGAUCCUUAAGGAAGCUCAUGAAUAUCCUCUCACGAUUCAUCCCGGUAGUACUAAGAUGUAUCAGGACCUACGCCAGAGGUUCUGGUGGACCCGAAUGAAGAGAGAAAUCGCUCAAUUUAUUGCUAACUGUGACGUUUGUCGUCGCGUUAAGGCAGAACAUCAAAGGCCUGCUGGCACUCUUCAGCCCUUGGCUAUUCCUAAGUGGAAAUGGGACAAGGUCGGUGUGGAUUUCAUCACCGGCUUUCCAAAGACUAAGAAAGGGAUUGAUGCCAUCUUCGUGGUCAUCGAUCGUCUUUCAAAAUUUGCUCAUUUCCUUCCAGUUCGAGAGAGUAUAACUGCUAGUCAGUUAGCAGACCUAUGUAUUUAUCGAAUAGUUUCUCUUCAUGGUGUUCCUCUGGAAAUCAAUUCAGACCAUGGAAGUCUUUUCACCUCUCUAUUUUAGGAAAGUUUCCAAAAUGCUAUGGGAACUCUUCUCUCCUUUAGCACUUCUUAUCACCCUCAGUCAAGUGGUCAAGUAGAAAGAGUCAAUCAAAUUCUCGAGGAUAUGCUCAGAGCGUGUGUUAUCUCAUUCGGAAUGAACUCGGAGAAAUGUAUUCCAUUCGCCGAGUUUGCUUAUAACAUCAUUUUCCAGUCUAGUCUGGGCAAAACUCCUUUCGAAGUUCUGUAUGGAAGAGGAUGUCGAAUGCCAUUAAACUAGUCAGAAACCGGUGAAAGACAAUACUUUGGACCGGAUAUGAUCCAGGAGGCAGAAGAGCAAGUUCGCAUCAUUCCUGAGAAUUUAAAAACCGCCUAAUCUCGUCAAAAGAGUCAAUAUGACCGUCGUCAUUACGAAGUAAGUUAUGAAGUUGACGAGAAGGCUUAACUUCGGGUUUCACCUCUCAAGGUUACCCAUCGUUUCGGUAUCAAAGGCAAAUUGGCUCCUCGUUACAUUGGUCCUUUUCGCAUUCUCGCUAAACGAGGAGAGGUUGCCUACCAAUUGGAACUACCUCCGCAACUUUCCAAAGUUCAUGAUGUGUUCCACUUUUCUCAACUCAGGUGUUACUUCAAGGAUCCUAUCCGCGAAGUGGACCACGAAACGCUUGAUCUCAAAGAUGACAUUUCAUAUCGAGAAUAUCCCGUUCGUAUUCUUGAUGAAAGCGAGCGAAGCACUCGACAUCGCAACAUCAAGUUUCUCAAGGUUCAGUGGUCUCAUCAUUCCGAGGAUGAAGCAACGUGGGAGCGCGAAGAUCGUCUUCGGCUUGAGUACCCCGAUCUCUUCCCGACUACGCCUGAAUCUCAGGACGAGAUUCUUGUUUAGUGGGGGUGAGUUGUCACAGUCCUAGUUUUACUUUACUUGCCAAGCUGAAUUCAAAUUGCAUUGAAUUUGAAAUGGGGAAGUGAUCAAGCCUCAGGAACCAAAUUUUGGGAAAUAAGCAAUAUAAAAAUUGCUAUAAAAUGAUCCAAGAAAAUGUUCCGAAUAUUUUAUUAAAAUAUUGGCAUGAUAUAAAAAUGUCAACUAAUAUUUUAGGUCACAGAAACAUUUUGUGUUGGACUUUUGAUUUAAUCAAGCAAAUAUUUGGAGUGGAAUUAUAUUAUCUCUAUAUAAAAUAUAGUUCCAUAAUUCCUGAAAAUAAAUGUGUGGCAUUAGAUAUUUAUAUUAUGCCACCUAAUAUAUUUUUCAGGGUUUUAUAAAAUGGCUAAAUAAUUUAUUUAAAGCCUAAACACAAACGGCAGAAACAGAAAAGAUACAAAAACUGAAAAGGGAGCAGAAGCUUACCUCGCGCCUAAGUGGCACGCCCAGCCCACUCCAGCCACCCCUGUCGUAUUCCUCCUCCUGCCAAUAGGCAAAGGAGAAGGCGAGCACGGCAGCCACCUCCUGCUUCGCCGUGGAGCUCCUCCUCGCCUCCACGACACCAGCACGACCCCCUCUCUCUUAUCUCCUCCCCCUCUCUUCAUUUUCCCCUUUCUCCCCUGCUCAUCCCUCUUUCUCUCCUCCGCCAUUGACGAGCUCGGGCUUGAGGUCACCGGCGCCCCUCCGGACACAGCAACACCACCCUGACCUGCUCCCUUCCCCGCAUCGACGAGCUGCUCCUCCCCGCCGAAGGAAUUGAGCCGAAGCCCGCUGUAUCGCCCUCGCCGCCGCCGUUCCCAACUCCGACCACCGGACCCCGCCGCCGUCGAUUCGGCCUGCCCCGAGCUCCCCUUCCGUCGGCGUUUCUCCCAUCAGUUCCGUGGUGAGCUGCGGAGCAUUUCGCCUCUAUUUCCCUCUUUUUCCCGCGCCCUGGCACCGCUCCCCAUCGAUGCCAAACUCGGGCCGCCGCGUGCCUCCACCGGCGCCCCCAUGACCAGCCGUUGCCCCUGCUAGAUCGGUCGCUUCGCCAGCUUCGCGUAGCCGCAAACCGCGCGGACAAUGGCCCCUUGGAGCGUGAUUGUAGCCAACUCCGUCGAGUCCUCCGCCGCGGUUUGGUCGCCGCCGGCCAGUUUCCGGCGAGCGCCGACGUGGCACGGCCAUUAGUGCCUAACUAGCACCCCACAGCCACUGACACAGGGCCCCACGCGUGGGUCACACCCCAAUUAGGGGCAGGUCAACUCGGGUUUAGCCCAGGGUCACUGACCAGUGGCCCCCACUGGUCAGGUUUGACCUGGCCCGGCUGGUUUGACCUGAUGACGUCAGUGCUGAUGCAGUAAUUCAUUUCAGAGUUUAAAAUAAAUCCAGAAAUUAGUAGAAACUUCAAAAAUUCAUAGAAAUUAAAUUAUAACUCGGAUGAAAAUAAUUUAUAUAUGAAAAAUUAUUAGAAAAAUGUAAGGAAUCCAAUGGUACCAUAUUCAUGCAUGUUUGAACAAUUUGAACUAGCUGAAUAGGACAAUUACAAAAUAGGCAUAUAAAUGCUUAUAUUUGGAGUUUAGAAUUGAUCUAUAUUGAUCAAACAAACCCCAAUUAACUUGUGAUCACUUGCAUUAGAUAAAACCAGCAUCAUUUUAACAUGCCAUGCUCAUGCAUCAUUGUGAAGCAUUUGUCGUGCUUAAUUUGUUCUUUGUUGAUCUUGUUGAUAGACCUUGCGAGAUGUAGUUAUCACCGACAUCGAAGAACAGCUGAGUUCUUCUGAUCAACAGGAAAGCAAACCCCUUAUGUAUUAGGACAUAAAGAUUCAACUACUACUUAUGUUAUGAUAGAUAACACAUUCCUUUGCAUGACAUGUCUUUGUCAAAGUAAAUAGCUAAACCAAGAAACCUAGCAUACCUGGUAGAUGCUUGAGCCAUGUUGUGCCAUUACCCUGAUAUGCUUGCUAUGCUUAGAGUUGAGUUGGUCUCAUCAUCUGGAUGAUGAAUUGGAAUGACCAUAUCCUACUGAUGAGAGUUAAGUAUGUGAAACCGUUUUGGUAAAGGUAGUGAUGAGAGUCCAUGUAGGAGUACAUGGCGGGUUGUCACAUUGAUACCGCACUUAGGACCUGAGAUCUUGUGUUGGUGUUCCAAGACUAGAUACUACCGCACAUUGGGUUCCGGUAACUCGACCCCUCUCGGCCUAUUAACUACUCUAUUCUCAGUCCAGGAGUCGCAGUAGUUCGAAACAUUCAUAGAUUAUGGCACGACCUGCUAAGUGGAUGAACGGCCCAAUCAUUACCGGCUUGGGGCCCUGCUCACAUCGUUUGAGGACAUGUUGGAAACCCCGGCCGGACUUCCAUCAUGGGUUCCAACUCAGAUAGGCGACUGCCUUGUGCGUGAGUCAUUGUGGGUUAACGUCCGUGGCUGACUCCCUCGCUGGACUUCCGCUUGAAGGUUGCUGAGGUGCUUGUUUUAUGUGCACAUGGCGAUAAUUGGCGGGAGCAUGUGUGACGAAGUACACCCCAGCAGGGUAAUUAUCCUUGGAUAUGGACUACUUGGAUACUUACAUGGUUCAUAGAUAACUUUAACGGGUACUUUAAAAUGGUCCAGAUAAGAGUGAGUGCUAUGGAUGGCCUUCUCAUAGGAUGACGAGAGAGGAUCCAUGGUGGUGUAUUGAUGUGGUGGAUAUGUGGACUCGUGUGCGCCCUCUCGUAGGGAGACAAGAGAGGUAUAAAACAUUGUUGUAGUUUAGGUUAGCCAAAGGUCAAAGCUGGCUUUUCUGCAGUAAACCCCACAACCCCGUUCAUUGAUGCAUGAUGCAUAUGUAGUUAACUCUGAUGUAAGUCUUGUUGAGUACCUUCAUACUCACUGUUCCUUAUUUUCAUUUUUGCACAGAUAGACGUUGUUCUCUCUACGUUUUCCUGUUGACGUUAACAUCGAUGGAUUAGCUUGGGAACCCAGAUAGUGGUCUGGCUCCUAUGGUAGGGUUGUUGUAGCUUUUCAGGCUCUUCCAGCCGCUUUUAAUAGAUGUCUAUACCCAGACAUGUAACUUCCGCUUGAUGCUUGUAUGCUCUGAAUGUUGGGUCAUGUGACCCCUCUGUUUGUAACAUUAUACUAUGUUGGCUCUUCGGAGCCUAUUAAAUAAUUGAUGAGUCGUAGAGUUAUGAUGUGAUGCUAUUGUUGUAUCUACACAUAUCAUGCAUAUUGUGUGUAUGUUUGAAAUGCAUUGGUAUGUGUGGGAUUCGACACCUAGUUGUGUGCCUUUAGUAGUAAUCUUUACAGCGAAAUGCCUCUUUGUGCUUCCACCGAGCCUUGGUAGCUUGCUACUUCUUCGGACACAUUGAUUGACCGGCGUGUAUCCUUCUUUGCUGUUGUAUCUGUCCCCUCGGGGAAAUGUCACGCGGUGUAAUGGAGUCCUUGUAGCUUGCUACGACUCGUCUACACACGCUGUUGACCGACACCUGCUUAGUUGGGUCAAGGUGAGCGGCCCCGACACCACCAUCGCCGUUCGGCGCCCCCGCCCCAGGCGGUUGCUUCCGCUGCUGGCCCCCGCCCUCACCCCCUCCAGCGCUAGUUGCCCCCGUCAUCGCCUCCGCCGUCUCACUUGUCGUGGAAGACCUAGAAAUUUUGGCUAAGUGUUGGCUCUGUCCUAUCCUCGGAAUAGGUCCCACUUGUCAAUGACUUAGAUUUGGCAAGAGACAACCGCAGUUUUAUAUAAUAUACAGUCAUUUCGGUAGAUGGGCAGCAAUCCCUCUCUAGCCCAGUGGUAGUCAACAAGCAGCCACAACCCAGUGGUCGUGGGUUCGAGUCCACGCUCGGGUAAAAAAAAUUACCCAACGAAUUUUGCGCUCGCGUGUGCUUCUGCUGUCAAAUGGGUCCCACCUGUCAGUGUGUGAUCUUUGUUUAACAAGAAGUAAGCAAAAAUGACAGGUAAACUGAGGUUGUUGCCUAACCAUCCUAAUGCAUUCGAACUAAUUAGUAACAAGAGGUGGCCGGUGCUGUCCGCUUUACGACAAUUUCUAGUAAGGAAGUUAUGACAUUUCUGAUGAAAAUGGUCGUUAGUUUUUAGGGUUAGGACCCCUCCGGACAUCUUACAACCAAUUGGUCUCAAAUGGUCGUAGAUUUACGACCAUUUCUACUUGCGUCAUUGCUAGAAGGUCGCUAGUUGACAUAUUUCUUCUAGUGGAUUACCAUAAUGCUCGUCAUAUACAAGGAUUAAUCCUGCAAUGACGAAUCAUGUGAUCAUCCAAAUGACGGAAUUUGAGAUGAAGAAUUUGGGUAAAACCUCUCGCACAUUCACUCAUACAUUAUGGUACACAUGUCGUCAUUAUCUAGAUUAUACUAGACAAAAUAGAUUGUGGGGAUGUCUUACCCAUCCAUAAUUUCCAUGGUUAUUCGUUCUCUAGACGUAGAGAAAAUUUCAUUUAGACUGCGAGGAGAUGGAAACAAGAUUUUAGGACCUAAAGUUCCAUAUCCUAGUGCCAUUGGACCCACCAAACAUAAUUGGUUGGGACUCAAGAAUAUAUUUUCAUAUCUCCAAGGCAUCAAACAUCUUGUCCUAAUCUUUCAGUUUUAGAGAAAUCUGGACACCCGAUAUUAUUGGAUACGUUGAUUAGAUCCCUACCAUGUUAGAUCGUAGACAAGCUAUGUGUUCCUACUAGGUGUCGUAGCCAUCCCAUGAAAGUCUUCAAAACAAAUCUUAUUAGCUACAUCCACCAACCAUUAUCUCAAAGAUAAUGUUGCUUGUGUUCCCCGGAUGCAAACAUGUUACAUAAUAAGCAAUAUCUCUAUAUUUCAUAUAUUGCAAUUCAAAUCAUGUGGCUGAUUUGUUCACCAAGUCUCUACCAACUUCUACAUUCUAGAAAUAUGUUCACUGAAUUGGUAUGUGACGGCUUCGGAAUUUGCAAGAAUUAGGGGAGUAUCUUCCUGAAUUUUUCAUGUUCAGAGCAUCAUAUUAUAAUAUUUUUCCCUGCAUGAGUUUACUGUACAUGUUCUCAUAAAGAUUUUUCAUGAGGUAAUAUCAACAUGAAAUCAUAUGUCAUAUUUUUUGUUUUCCCCAACUGGGGUUUUUAGGGAUGUAUACACAACAUAUUUAUUGUCCUCUAAACUGUAUGGAUUUUAUAAUAUUGAGUUAAAGAGACAAUUAUUAUGAUAUGUCAUAUUAUUUUCUCCUUAUAUUUUUCCCACUGCAUUUUAAAGGAGUUUCCAAUGGCAUAUCAGAUCACACUCUUUUCCCUUAUGUGAUUUCUCUUGAAGUUUCUCAUAAAAGGUUUUAACAAGGCAACAUAUGCAAUAAUUUCUAUUUUUCUCACUUGGGUUUUUUUAAACGAAAGUAUACAAUGAACAUUUAUUGGUCUCCAAACUCACAAAUAAGUUUUCUCCUUGUUCAAAGGUUUUCCUCAUAUGUGUUAUCAAGGAGAUACUAAUCAUAAUAUGUUGCAUCAUAUUCUCCUUAUUUUUUACCCAUCAGGUUUAAAGAAAUUUUAGCAACAUAUCAGCACCAUUCUCCUCAUAUUUUUUCCAUAAGGUUUUUGGGAAGACUCAAGAUUGUACAAAGGAUUUAUCAAGAUGGAAGAUGAAUAUACAAGACACCUUCAGUGAUGUUCAAGAAGCCUUUAGUGGUGAUCAGGAAGCGGUGUUGUAUAAGGGGGUGUUAGGAAUAAAUUAUCACAUGUCUAUUUUUAAUUAGCACAUGCUAAUUAAUGGAUCAUCAUUAGCGAAAGGUGUGUCCAACCCCGAAGAGUUAUGUCCCUUCUCUCUCUUUAUUGUCAAUAGGCAUCUGUUUUGGACGGAUGUCUCCGAACAAACACCCUUUAUUUUCAUCUUUUCGAGAUGUAUAUAUACUUGAGUAUCAAUAAAAACAAAGACUUAUCGUUCAUUUACUUUCAAUCAAUCUUGUUCUACUUUAACACAACUCACUAGCAAUUUUGUGUGUCGGGCCACUUCGAUCUUGCGGUAUACCCCAGCUGUCCUGGUAUGUGGGGCAUGCUAUGGUUGUUUAAAAAUAUUAAAAUUAUAAAAUGCUUUCUAGUAUGACUUGGUUUUAUUAAGCACGCAAACAUAAUAAAUUUGAAUCGACGUUCUUGUACCACCGAAAGUUCACACCAAUCAGCGAACUACGCAUUUCCAUUAAAGUUGUAGAGGGUGCUGCAGUAGUAAAUAUGUAGAGGGGAGGAGACGCAUCAAGACAAGAGGGCAGUGUGGUGCACUAAUCCUACUACGUAGUCCCUGUUGGUUGGUAAAUGAGAUGGUCAGGUCUGUUGCAAUUCUUUACGUCGUCUCUGUUGGUUGGUGUAUUCUCCUGUGUGUGGCAUGGUGUUUGUGAUUAGAGAGUUCCCAUGAUUAUCUGUCGCUCUGUUACGACUUGGCAUAAUACUCCUACAUGCACACAAAGACGUGUCGGUUGCAGCUAGCCAUCGGGACUGACAUGCCGUCCUACCGAAUGUUUAAGGAGGUCGACAGUAGUUUGGUGCAGCUAGUCAACGGGACUGACAUGUUAAGCAGCGCGUGUAUGCGUCUCGCUUCGGCCGAAAUCACUGUUUUAACAUUUUUAUUAAUCUUUGUCACAAACUGAACUCAACAUAAAAGUGUUUUAUGAUCUAAUCUUUUUGAUAACAUCAUAGUCAAUCCAACAUAGAAACGCCAAGCUAGAUAGCGUUUCUGCCCUUGUCCACUGUCAGGCCGACCAUGCGUAUGUGACAAGCCAGAAACGUCGAGCUAGACCCCGUUUCUAUAUAGGGCGGCAACGUCAAAGGCCUUGCGUUUCAAAACAACAUAGAAACGUCAAGGCUUUUGGCGUUGCUGCCCUACAUAGAAACGCCAGGGUCAGUGACGUUUCCAGAAACGAGAUCUAGCUCGGCGUUUCUAACCUGUUACCUACGCGUACUCGUCAUGGCAGUGGACCAGAGCAAAAAUGCUAUCUAGCUCGGAUUUCUAUGUCGGGCAGUAACGUCACGGGCUAUGAUGUUGCCAAAAAGAUCAGAACGUGAAAUACUUUUAUAUCAAGUUCAGAUUGUGACAAAAAUCGCUGAGAAGGUUAGAAUAGCGAUUUUGUCUGCCUUUGUGGGCCAUCUCCUAGUGUCGUGGGAAUGACCCUAACAAUAGUACCUAAGGGUAUGAAUGAAGGGGCAAAGUCUAACUAGACGCAGUGGAUGCACUCGGAUGUACGAGUUUAGACCCCACUCGAAAGUGGUAACAGCCAUACGUCUCGAGCCCUGAGGCUGGUAUUUUCUUAUGGGGUGUAAAAGAUUACAAAGUGUUGAACCCUUGAGCUAGAGCCAGAAGUGGCUUAUAUAGUGCAUACCAUGACCGGCCGAGCUUCAUUACAAGGCAAUUAAUGCAAAUAAACGAAAAAGUUACUAGAAACGACAGCUUUAAUUAUCGGCGUUACUAGUAACGUGAGUCUUCACUGCUCUUCAUGCGAUGGGUUAAGUCCUUAGCCGUUUGCAGCCUCUUCGGUGCCUUUUCCUCGCUGAGGUCCGAGUGUCAAGAUGUAUCCGACUCGCACGAGAGGAUCCGAGUGACUCCAGGCAGACCGAGUGACGGUUGCUGAACCGAGUGAGGUCGAGGCAGCCUUGGUGACUUUAAGGAUACUAAUGUCCGUAAGGGUCCUAGGUAGGCCCAAAGAGGCAGGUCCGUAGGCCUACCCCUAAUGUACAACACGAGCAGUAGCCCCCGAAUCAAUUGAGGUUUUGCAGAUCGACUGAAUGACUUCCUUCAAUGUCUCCGACGCUUUGAAGAUUCUUGGGAUGUAGCUCGGGGCUGCGUCAUUCGGACCCUCGGCAAACCUCCACGGAUUUAAGAGUGACCAAUUUCGACUGUCCAGCCAUACAGGUACUUCAGCAGUCGGCAGUGACAGAUUAUCUUUUGGAAAGAUAGAUCCCAUGAGUUCGAUGGACGAGAGCUUUGUACUCCGCGUGCUCAAUCGGUGAGUUGGGACAGAUCUUAACUCGUGUCGAGGUAAGGACGAUCAGGUCGUCGUCAUCAAUUUCCGGACUGAUCGGGAUUCCGUAGGGGAUCGUGCGAAAAGAUCAUUCGGCAUGCUUUGUCAUACGACGUGUACACGGGAUCCAUUCGGGAUACAAGGUGGGACAGAUUUUUCGUAACUUUUGAAAUUGAGGGAGCACGCCCGCGGUCGACGGUUACGCGGAGACGCGGGUAGUGGAAAUAGUGAGAGAAAAGAUUAAUCGUAUGAGCUAAUGUAUCAUGAUCGUCAUUACGUGCAUUUCGGAACAGAACAGGGGAGGAGCUGGGGAUCAAAAGAGUGAACUAGUACUACAGUGUUAUCUCGGCAUUUUGCAAUGCUCUGACGCAUGUCAACUAGUAAGCGCCAUAAGGAAAAGACGAGUCAUGGCACAUGAACCAGGGUCGUACAAAAUUAAAAACUAGCUGUUAUUAACUCAAGAUCUCUGGAAAGGUACUAAGAUGGAGAAGUUGGCAACAUUAUUUCAUUUCAUACAUGAUAAGAUAAUUAGUGCUUGCUCGCAGUAAACAUCGCACUGCAAGCAUGGCCUCGCCUGAUCGCCCCAAUUUCAGCAGACAAGUUCGGGGAGGCGUAUAGAACUUGCUGCGCAUUAUUUGAUCUACAGCCUAAUUAGUGGAAGGAGGUGUUCUUGAGGUGUGGCGGGGCGUUGUCAAAGGAGUGCUUCCUGGCCAUGGAGACGAUUGUCUUGUCGGCGACGAUGAAAUAGGCCAUCCCGGCGACGGUGGAGAUGAUGAGCGCCUGCCCGGCCGGGUUCAGGUGCGCCUUUGCCCACGGCAGCAUCCUCACGCUCGCCAGCUGAAAUUACAGGUAAGAGGUAACACAUUCGUGCUCCGCAGGGAUAUCUCGAAGAAGGCAAGAACUAAAUGGCUAGCUACUAACCGUGGGGACUGCGGCUGCGACGGUGGCGACGGCCGCGGCCUUGGCUCCCGCCAUGGCAGCCUCUGCAACACCGACAGGUUAAUGACAAUCAAGUUUCAGUGGACAGAUACAUUACAGAAGCUGCAAUUAAUGCACGACGGAAUGGUAUCUAUACGAGCAUUGCUGGUUACCUCUGGAGCAACGCUUGGCUGCAGCGAGCCUCUGGUCCAGGUAGGCGCGGGUCACCGUAGACAUUUUCGUGGGAGUGGCAGCUUGGUGGCACGAGACCGGAAGGAAGUGAACUAGAAGUAGAGCAGCAGCAGUGUGCUUUUUAUGUGACCGUCUGAGAGUGAGAUGAGAUGGAUAGGAGGUGUGCUCCGAUUCGGCCGAGUUUAUGUAGGCUGCAGGAAACCGGCAACCAGCG
rnacentral:lncRNA from 1 species